rnacentral:rRNA from 1 species
UACGGAGGAUGCAAGCGUUAUCCGGAUUUAUUGGGUUUAAAGGGUGCGUAGGCGGGUCGUUAAGCGUGAGGUGAAAUGCCCUGGCUCAACCAGGGAACUGCCUCGCGAACUGGCGGUCUUGAAUGAUCCUGCCGUGGGAGGAAUGGGUAGUGUAGCGGUGAAAUGCAUAGAUAUUACCCAGAACACCGAUUGCGAAGGCAUCUCACGAAGGGUCGAUUGACGCUGAGGCACGAAAGCGUGGGGAU